rnacentral:rRNA from 1 species
UACAGAGGUCUCAAGCGUUUGUUCGGAUUCAUUGGGCGUAAAGGGUGCGUAGGCGGCGCGGUAAGUCGGGUGUGAAAUCUUGGAGCUUAACUCCGAAACUGCAUUCGAUACUGCCGUGCUUGAGGACUGGAGAGGAGACUGGAAUUUACGGUGUAGCGGUGAAAAUGCGUAGAUAUCGUAAGGAAGACCAGUGGCGAAGGCGGGUCCCUGGACAACUCCUGACACUGAGGCACGAAAAGCUAGGGGAGCAAACAGG